rnacentral:snRNA from 1 species
GUGCUCGCUUCGGCAGCACAUACACUAAAAUUGGAACGAUACAGAGAAGGUUAGCAUGG